CUACGGGCUGCUGCAGUGGGGAAUAUUGCACAAUGGGCGCAAGCCUGAUGCAGCCAUGCCGCGUGUAUGAAGAAGGCCUUCGGGUUGUAAAGUACUUUCAGCGGGGAGGAAGGGAGUAAAGUUAAUACCUUUGCUCAUUGACGUUACCCGCAGAAGAAGCACCGGCUAACUCCGUGCCAGCAGCCGCGGUAAUACGGAGGGUGCAAGCGUUGAUCGGAAUUACUGGGCGUAAAGCGCACGCAGGCGGUUUGUUAAGUCAGAUGUGAAAUCCCCGGGCUCAACCUGGGAAUUGCAUCUGAUACUGGCAAGCUUGAGUCUCGUAGAGGGGGGUAGAAUUCCAGGUGUAGCGGUGAAAUGCGUAGAGAUCUGGAGGAAUACCGGUGGCGAAGGCGGCCCCCUGGACGAAGGCUGACGCUCAGGUGCGAAAGCGUGGGGAGCAAACAGGAUUAGAUACCCCCGUAGUC
rnacentral:rRNA from 1 species